UACGGGGGGAGCAAGCGUUGUUCGGAUUUACUGGGCGUAAAGCGCGUGCAGGCUGUUAGAUAAGUCAGAUGUGAAAUCCCUGGGCUCAACCGAGGAAGUGCAUUUGAAACUAUCUAGCUGGAAGAUGGUAGAGGAAGGUGGAAUUCCAAGUGUAGAGGUGAAAUUCGUAGAUAUUUGGAGGAAUACCGGUGGCGAAGGCGGCCUUCUGGACCAUUCUUGACGCUGAGACGCGAAAGCGUGGGUAGCAAACAGG
rnacentral:rRNA from 1 species